rnacentral:rRNA from 1 species
GAUGAACGCUAGCGGCAGGCUUAAUACAUGCAAGUCGAGGGACAGCACAGGUAGCAAUACUGGGUGGUAACCGGCAAACGGGUGCGGAACACGUACACAACCUUCCUUUAAGUGGGGAAUAGCCCAGAGAAAUUUGGAUUAAUACCCCGUAAUAUAGUUGAAUGGCAUCAUUUGAUUAUUAUAGCUACGGCGCUUAAUGAUGGGUGUGCGGCUGAUUAGAUAGUUGGCGGGAUAACGGCCCACCAAGUCUACGGUCAGUAGCUGAUGUGAGAGCAUGAUCAGCCACAAGGGCACUGAGACACGGGCCCGACUCCUACGGGAGGCAGCAGUAAGGAAUAUUGGUCAAUGGACGCAAGUCUGAACCAGCCAUGCCGCGUGAAGGAUUAAGGUCCUCUGGAUUGUAAACUUCUUUUAUUUGGGACGAAAAAGGGCCUUUCUAGGUCAACUGACGGUACCAGAUGAAUAAGCACCGGCUAACUCCGUGCCAGCCGCCGCCGUAAGAC